rnacentral:lncRNA from 1 species
CCCGCUGUCGCAACUGAAAUCACCGCCAGAACCUAGAUCGUCCUCCACGGCAACGCCUCUCCUUUUCGAGCCAGCGGCCGCGGCAUUAUCAGAAGCCAGAGCAUCUUUCGAGAAGUAGAGGCCGGGAUCAGAGAAAUUAACGCCAGGGUUCGGGCAGUCGGGGUUGGAGUGGGCUAGACGGUGUUGGCGAUCCAGGAAGUCGAGGGGGAAAGCGGCGUCCGGGUGAGGUUGCAAGUGUUGCUGAUGAUGCGAUGGGGGAGAGGAGAAGUGAGGGUGGUGGAACAUGAACUUGGCGGAAGAGGAGGAGGCAGAGGAAGAAGUGUUUUGGUUUUGGUUUUGGAGGAACUGGUGGAGAAAGGAGGAG